UGAGGAAUAUUGGACAAUGGGCGAAAGCCUGAUCCAGCCAUGCCGCGUGUGUGAAGAAGGUCUUCGGAUUGUAAAGCACUUUAAGUUGGGAGGAAGGGCAGUUACCUAAUACGUGAUUGUUUUGACGUUACCGACAGAAUAAGCACCGGCUAACUCUGUGCCAGCAGCCGCGGUAAUACAGAGGGUGCAAGCGUUAAUCGGAAUUACUGGGCGUAAAGCGCGCGUAGGUGGUUAGUUAAGUUGGAUGUGAAAUCCCCGGGCUCAACCUGGGAACUGCAUUCAAAACUGACUGACUAGAGUAUGGUAGAGGGUGGUGGAAUUUCCUGUGUAGCGGUGAAAUGCGUAGAUAUAGGAAGGAACACCAGUGGCGAAGGCGACCACCUGGACUGAUACUGACACUGAGGUGCGAAAGCGUGGGGAGCAAACAGGAUUAGAUACCCCGGUAGUCCCUGAGCGGGCUGGCAAGGCGCAU
rnacentral:rRNA from 1 species